rnacentral:rRNA from 1 species
UGCAAGUCGAACGCGGCCAUCCGGUGCUUGCACUGGUGAAGCCGAGUGGCGAACGGGUGAGUAACACGUGAGAAACCUGCCCUGGAGUGGGGAAUAACUCGAAGAAAUUCGAGCUAAUACCGCAUACCUUCUCUUCACCGCAUGGUGAGUUGAAGAAAGAUUUAUCGCUCUAGGAGGGUCUCGCGGCCUAUCAGCUAGUUGGUGAGGUAAUGGCUCACCAAGGCAUCGACGGGUAGCUGGUCUGAGAGGACGAUCAGCCACACUGGGACUGAGACACGGCCCAGACUCCUACGGGAGGCAGCAGUAGGGAAUCUUGCGCAAUGGGCGAAAGCCUGACGCAGCAAUGCCGCGUGCGGGACGAAGGCCCUAGGGUCGUAAACCGCUUUCAGUAGGGACGAAAAUGACGGUACCUGCAGAAGAAGCUCCGGCCAACUACGUGCCAGCAGCCGCGGUGAUACGUAGGGAGCAAGCGUUGUCCGGAAUUACUGGGCGUAAAGGGCUCGUAGGUGGUUGAGUAAGUCAGAUGUGAAAUCUCAGGGCCCAACCCUGAGCCUGCAUUUGAUACUGCUCUGACUAGAGUCCGGUAGGGGAGUGCGGAACUCCUGGUGUAGCGGUGAAAUGCGCAGAUAUCAGGAAGAACACCGACAGCGAAGGCAGCACUCUGGGCCGGUACUGACACUGAGGAGCGAAAGCAUGGGUAGCAAACAGGAUUAGAUACCCUGGUAGUCCAUGCCGUAAACGUUGGGCACUAGGUGUGGGGAGAACUCAACUCUCUCCGCGCCGUAGCUAACGCAUUAAG